GCCCGGGUGGUGAAAUUGGUAGACACGUACGUUUGAGGGGCGUAUGGCGCAAGCUGUGCUGGUUCGAGUCCAGUCCCGGGCA
rnacentral:tRNA from 1 species